CGACGAGAAGCUGAAGAAGAUGAUGGUGAGAUGUAUGAUGAGUUUGGAAACCUUAAGAAGAAGUUUCGUGCCAAAUCCCAGCAAAUGGAAGCUGGUCGGAUACUACCAGGUGCUGGGAGGGCUGGAUGGGAAGUUGAGGAACUAGGUGUAGUUGAGAAAGAUAGGAGGGAGAGGAGUAGAGACCGAGGAAGGGAAUGGGAUGACCGAGACAGGGACCGAGACAGCAGCAGAACUAGAGAAAGAGAAAGCAGGGAAAG
rnacentral:misc_RNA from 1 species